CUUAUCAUUAUUUUAAUUCACAUAUUUUGUAAAUUUAACUAAAAAAUGUGUUACCCUCAUCAUUGCAUUUUAAUAAAUUAAUUCGAGUUUGUUUUACUUAUUUAUUUAUUGAUUAAGCUUAAUGCAUGCAGGUCGAGUCGAGCUCAAUUAGGUAAAGCCUAAACGGACACUACAUCAUUUUACAAUUUCACAUUCUCCGGAGUCGACUCCAAGAACUCUUCUCCAAAACCCAGUGUUUCCCAUUAAUUCCUGACUCUUCACACAUUCACCUAAAUUUCUUCCCACUCAUUCCAAUUCUCCUGUUUAACAUUAAAAAUAAUAUAAUCCCUUCGAUCAUUUGUCUCAUAGAUCUCAAAGCAUACCAACAUAUUUGCACAAAUCCUAAAGCUCCAUUCACUCCUCAACUAAAAUCCCACGCUCCAACCAUUUCCCCAACUCCCGUAUUCUCUUUCCUCCCUCGUCACUCUGUUUCUUCCCUUCUAGUUUCCUCCACGGCCUUCUUCCCGUUUGGAUUGAUUCAUUCAUCAACGGAUAAGCCCAAGCCAACGAACAGAUCCAGCGUCAAACUCCAUGUGUUCCCAGCUCCCCUGUUCCAAUCUCAUCCUUCUGAGUCCCUAGCAGUGAGCCAUUCCCACGCUUCCUCCCAGCCAUUCUAACUCCCC
rnacentral:lncRNA from 1 species